rnacentral:rRNA from 1 species
AACGAACGCUGGCGGCAUGCCUAACACAUGCAAGUCGAACGAACCCUUCGGGGUUAGUGGCGCACGGAUGCGUAACACGUGGGAAUCUGCCCUUUGCUUCGGAAUAACAGUUAGAAAUGACUGCUAAUACCGGAUGAUGUCGUAAGACCAAAGAUUUAUCGGCAAAGGAUGAGCCCGCGUAGGAUUAGGUAGUUGGUGGGGUAAAGGCCUACCAAGCCGACGAUCCUUAGCUGGUCUGAGAGGAUGAUCAGCCACACUGGGACUGAGACACGGCCCAGACUCCUACGGGAGGCAGCAGUGGGGAAUAUUGGACAAUGGGCGAAAGCCUGAUCCAGCAAUGCCGCGUGAGUGAUGAAGGCCUUCGGUUGGUAAAG